rnacentral:rRNA from 1 species
GGUAAUGCGGGGCGAGGGGAUGGGGGAAAGCGGAGGAUGGAAUAGUUAAUCAGGAAUACUGGGGGUAAAUAGGGCGCAGGCGGGUUAUUAAGUCAGAUAGGAAAUCACGAGGCUCAAGCUAGGAACGGCAUUUGAAACUAAUAAACUAGAGUAUCGUAGAGGGAGGGAGAAUUCCAGGUGUAGCGGUGAAAUGCGUAGAGAUCUGGAGGAAUACCAGUGGCGAAGGCGACCUCCUGGACGAAAACUGACGCUCAAGCACGAAAGCAUGGGGAGCAAACAGGAUUAGAUACCCUUGUAGUC